rnacentral:rRNA from 1 species
AUGACAAAUCCACUAUAUUCAGCACAUAGCCCAACUCAGCAGGCACGAGCCAUGUCGACAGUCGGGGUGGCACUCGGGUGCAUGCUCGCCUUGACAGUCAUCAAGGUCGCAAUAGAGUCGGUGGAGGCUGUGCUCGGCGACGCUGAGAGAGAGUCUAUCAAGCAUAAGUCCAUGCUGUUGUGGCUGAAGUGA